UUGUCUCAAAGAUUAAGCCAUGCAUGUCUCAGUACAAGCCACAUUAAGGUGAAACCGCGAAAGGCUCAUUAAAUCAGUUAUGGUUCCUUAGAUCGUACCCACUUUUACUUGGAUAACUGUGGUAAUUCUAGAGCUAAUACAUGCAAAUAGAGCUCCGACCGGAGACGGGAGGAGCGCUUUUAUUAGAUCAAAACCAAUCGGUGUCAGGUUCGCUUGACAUCGUACAACUUGGUGACUCUGAAUAACUUUAAGCUGAUCGCACGGUCUCGCACCGGCGACGCAUCUUUCAAAUGUCUGCCUUAUCAACUGUCGAUGGUAGGUUCUGCGCCUACCAUGGUUGUAACGGGUAACGGGGAAUCAGGGUUCGAUUCCGGAGAGGGAGCCUGAGAAACGGCUACCACAUCCAAGGAAGGCAGCAGGCGCGCAAAUUACCCACUCCCGGCACGGGGAGGUAGUGACGAAAAAUAACGAUACGGGACUCAUCCGAGGCCCCGUAAUCGGAAUGAGUACACUCUAAACCCUUUAACGAGGAUCAAUUGGAGGGCAAGUCUGGUGCCAGCAGCCGCGGUAAUUCCAGCUCCAAUAGCGUAUAUUAAAGUUGUUGCGGUUAAAAAGCUCGUAGUCGAAUUUGUGUCCCGCGCCGCCGGUUCAUCGUCCGCGGUGUUAACUGGCGUGUCGCGGAAUGUCCUGCCGGUGGGCUUAGCGCGCAAGUGCGGCCCAAUCAAUCCUGCCACGGUGCUCUUCACUGAGUGUCGAGGUGGGCCGGCACGUUUACUUUGAACAAAUUAGAGUGCUUAAAGCAGGCUAAAACUUCGCCUGAAUACUGUGUGCAUGGAAUAAUGGAAUAGGACCUCGGUUCUAUUUUGUUGGUUUUCGGAACUCCGAGGUAAUGAUUAAUAGGAACGGAUGGGGGCAUUCGUAUUGCGACGUUAGA
rnacentral:rRNA from 1 species